CUAGUCCGUGCGUAGACUCUGCUCUUUUUUUUCAUCUCUCUCGGUCUCCACUCUGGAACCCUGCUGCACUCAGACGCUCUCUCUCUCUCGGUCUCUCCUCUGGCCUCCUUUCCUCUUCAUUCCAGGCUUUCCAGCUCCUAGCUUUUUAAAUUUCAAAGUGCUAAUAUGUGAGGCAAGGAAGUCAUUAAACAUACCGGUUGUUGGGCAAGUCCUUGACAAUCUCAUCUACAAUUACAAUCUGACUUUCUAUGGGAAGGCUUUGGCUUAGUAAGCCAAAAAGUGCUCUUCAAACUGCACUUGUAUUUUGGAUUUGUGAACAUGAAUUUAUUAACUUGGUUGCCUCAAGUUGAAUUAUUUUGUUGUGGUCCUUAGGAUGUGAAUUUUGUUGUCAUCAACUAGGUAACUAUGAUAGUUUUUUAUUGGUA